rnacentral:rRNA from 1 species
UGGGGAAUAUUGCACAAUGGAGGGAACUCUGAUGCAGCGACGCCGCGUGUACGAAGAAGGCUUUCGAGUCGUAAAGUUCUUUUAUAUGGGAAGAUAAUGACGGUACCAUAAGAAAAAGCCCCGGCUAACUACGUCCCAGCAGCCGCGGUAAUACGUAGGGGGCUAGCGUUGUCCGGAAUCACUGGGCGUAAAGGGUUCGCAGGCGGAAAUGCAAGUCAGGUGUAAAAGGCAGUAGCUUAACUACUGUAAGCAUUUGAAACUGCAUAUCUUGAGAAGAGUAGAGGUAAGUGGAAUUUUUAGUGUAGCGGUGAAAUGCGUAGAUAUUAAAAAGAAUACCGGUGGCGAAGGCGACUUACUGGGCUCAUUCUGACGCUGAGGAACGAAAGCGUGGGUAGCAAACAGG